rnacentral:rRNA from 1 species
CGGGUACAAUUGAGACAGGUGGUGCAUGGUUGUCGUCAGCUCGUGUCGUGAGAUGUUGGGUUAAGUCCCGUAACGAGCGCAACCCUUGUCCUUAGUUACCAGCACGUUAUGGUGGGCACUCUAAGGAGACUGCCGGUGACAAACCGGAGGAAGGUGGGGAUGACGUCAAGUCAUCAUGGCCCUUACGGCCUGGGCUACACACGUGCUACAAUGGUCGGUACAAAGGGUUGCCAAGCCGCGAGGUGGAGCUAAUCCCAUAAAACCGAUCGUAGUCCGGAUCGCAGUCUGCAACUCGACUGCGUGAAGUCGGAAUCGCUAGUAAUCGUGAAUCAGAAUGUCACGGUGAAUACGUUCCCGGGCCUU